rnacentral:rRNA from 1 species
AUCUCCCUCUCAGUACCCCUAAAGAUCAUUGACUUGGUGAGCCGUUACCUCACCAACUAUCUAAUCUUGCGCGUGCCCAUCUCUAUCCACCGGAGUUUUCAAUAUUAAAUGAUGCCAUCUAAUAUAUUAUGGAGUAUUAAUCUUCCUUUCGAAAGGCUAUUCCCCUGAUAAAGGUAGGUUGCACACGUGUUACGCACCCGUACGCCGCUCUCUAGUUUCCGAAGAAUCUAUACCGCUCGGCUUGCAUGUGUUAGGCCUCCCGCUAGCGUUCAUCCUGAGCCAUGAUCA